rnacentral:snRNA from 1 species
UUGCUUGCUUUGGCAGUAUAUAUACUGAAAUUGGAAUGAUACAGAGAUUAGCAUGCACCCUGCACAAGAAUAACAAAUAAUAGUAUUGUGCAUAGUUUGU